ACAGGGAUACCUCAGUAACGGCGAGUGAAGCGGUAAAAGCUCAAAUUUGAAAUCUGGCUCUUUUAGAGUCCGAAUUGUAAUUUGUAGAAGAUGCUUCGGGUGUGGUUCCGGUCUAAGUUCCUUGGAACAGGACGUCAUAGAGGGUGAGAAUCCCGUAUGUGACUGGAUUACCUAUGCUCAUGUGAAGCUCUUUUCGACGAGUCGAGUUGUUUGGGGAAUGCAGCUCAAAAAUGGGAGGUAUAUUUCUUCUAAAAGCUAAAUAUUGGGCCAGAGACCCGAUAGCGCACAAGUAGAGUGAUCGAAAGAUGAAAAAGCACUUUGGAAAGAGAGUUAAACAGUACGUGAAAUUGUUGAAAGGGAAGCGCUUGCAAUCAGACUUGCACUUGGUGUUCAUCAGGGUCUCGUACCCUGUGUACUUCAUCAAGUUCAGGCCAGCAUCAGUUUGAGUGGUUAGAUAAAGGCUUAGAGAAUGUGGCCCUCUUCGGGGGGUGUUAUAGCUCUAGGUGCAAUGUAGCCUACUUGGACUGAGGACCGCGCUUCGGCUAGGAUGCUGGCGUAAUGGUUGUAAGCGACCCGUCUUGAAACACGGACCAAGGAGUGUACCUAAUAUGCGAGUGUUUGGGUGUUAAACCCAUACGCGUAAUGAAAGUGAACGCUGGUGAGAACCCUUAAGGGUGCAUCAUCGACCGAUCUUGAUGUCUUCGGAUGGAUUUGAGUAAGAGCAUAUUGGGUGCGACCCGAAAGAUGGUGAUCUAUACGUGAAUAGGGUGAAGCCAGAGGAAACUCUGGUGGAGGCUCGCAGCGGUUCUGACGUGCAAAUCGAUCGUCAAAUUUGCGUAUAGGGGCGAAAGACUAAUCGAACCAUUAAGGAAUAGACCAAGCUCUAGGUGGUUGAGAAACCCCCUUGGGGUAUUAGUCCUGGAGACAGGGCGACAUUGUCAAAUUGUUCGGGGACCACCUGUUAAAUUACAUACUACCGCAGCAGUGCUGAAAGGCCUGUGAGCACUAGAGGUAACGCCUCUAGGGAUGGUAAUAACGUAUGUAUAGGGUAUAUCCGCAGCGAAGUUCUAAGGCCUCACGGCUACGAAUCGCGUUCACAGACUAGACGGCAAUGGCGCUCCUACACGGGCGCUUAAGAUAUAGUCGCAACCCCUCAGAGAUGA
rnacentral:rRNA from 1 species